GACGAACGCUGGCGGCGUGCUUAACACAUGCAAGUCGAACGGAAAGGCCCUGCUUUUGUUGGUUGCUCGAGUGGCGAACGUGUGAGUAACACGUGAGUAACCUGCCCUGUACUGGGUGAUAUCUUCAGGAAACUGCGGCUAAUACCGGCUAGGAGCUCCUGCUGCAUGGGGGGGUUUGGACAGUGACGGCGGGUGGGGAUGGACUCGCGGCUUAGCAGCUUGUUGGUGGGGUAGUGGCUUACCAGGGCUUGGACGGGUAGCCGGCCUGGGAGGGUGACCGGGCACAGUGGGACUGAGAUACGGCCCAUAGUGAAACGGGAGGCAGGAGUGGAGACCAUUGCCCGAUGGGCGGAAGGCUGAAGGAGCAACUCCGGGUGGGGGACGGCGGUCUUAGGGUUGGAAAACGCUUUGGCUUGUGACGAAGCGUGAGUGCGGGACAGUAGUAAAGAAGAACCGGUUAAUUACGU
rnacentral:rRNA from 1 species